rnacentral:lncRNA from 1 species
UUUUCAAGGGAUAAGGCACGAGACGUGGUGUGAUAUCAUCCGUCAGUUUGAUGGGUUUGGAUCUUGCAUUUUUCAGCAAGCUAAAGUUCCUCUUCAAGUCGCCGACGAGAGGAGUGUAAGGACUACCGGAAAGACCUUGUCUUCUCAGGUAACUCUCAAGCAUCUUUGGUUUAAACCAAACCCAGUUUAGAGUUCUCCAUACCCACCAGGACACAACAGCUAUAGCUAUUGAAAGUGUUGCUGAUGCAAUUGAAAUCUCCAUUUGCUCUCACAGAGACAAGAGAGACGUAGGUUAGAGAGAUGGGUAAUUUGCUAACAUUCUUGGGAUUUUAAAGAUUUAGAAUAUCGGAGAAGAUAUUGCUGUGGUGAUGACAUCACCCUGAUGUCUUAAAAACUUUAUUUUUGGUAAUAAAUGUUAAAUAGUAUAUAUAUCCUGUGUAUCUCAGCCAGUUGUUUUGUUUGGCCAAUGAUCUUUUGACUGUACUUGGAGCUAGGGCUGGGCAAAUAAACCGAAUCCGAAAACCCGAACCGAAUCCGAUCCGAUAAAAAUGAAUCCGAACCGAUCCAAACCCGGCGUAAAUACCGAAUGGAUCUUGUUUUGUGGUAUUUCGGGUUAUGGGUAUUAUCCGAACCGAACCCGAAUUUAAAUGGAUAUCCGAUAGAACCCGAAACAUUCAAAACCUCAAAAAGAUCUUGUACCAAACAUGAUCUCAAUUCCAAAUAUGUAUCCAAAAUACACUAAAAAAUAUUGAACAUCUAAAAUACUUAUCUAUUACAUGAAGAUUGGUGGUUCUAUUACAUGAAGGUUGAUGGUUAAAAAUGGUCGUUGAAUCUUGAAGUAUUUAGAUUUUGAUUUUGUUUUCGUUAAACAAUGUUUCUCAUGAAUUUCAUGAGAACUUGGUUUUCGUUUUAUGUUUUUAUUUAUUUGGUUUUCUUUUUAUCAGUAAAUAUGUUUACUUUUCGUUUGAUUUUGAAUGAUCACUGUUGAUGUUCCUUAUUUUUGAAUCGAUUUUACUUAAGUUUUGGUUACAAAAUAGGUACAAAUCAGGUAUUUUAAAACUGAAGAACCGAUUUUACUCAUGUUUUAGUUAUAAAAUAGGUAAAAAUCAGGUACUUUUGAACCAAAAAACCGAUUGGGACCUGAACCCAAAAGUAUAUUGGGUUGUACCGGUUCUUGGAAGAUUUACUAACCCCGACCCGAACCCGAUAGAACCCGAACCGAUCCCGAACCGAAUUUUCAUAUAAUCCGAAUGGGGUUGAUUUUGAUAAACCCGAAAAACCGAAACCCGAUUGGAUAAAACCGAAACCCGAUUGGGACCCCGAAUGUCCAGGCCUACUUGGAGCCUCAAAAGUCACAUGCCACGAAGCUCCAAGAAGUACAUACACAUUUGGAUUUGGGUAACAGGUGACAAGUGUAUUUUUCAUAACUUAAGUGGCAGGUAAGGUGCGAACGUCGUCAACUUUUUUGACGUUUCUUUGUUAAUAAUCUCAUCCAUUUAAAUUACUGUUUUGUUUUUGUUCUUUGAAACAUAACGAUUAAAUAUUUUUGUUUUCUCAAGAAAUAAAUAAUAAAAAUGUUAGAAUCUUUCUCUGGUUCAAAUCUUAAAUGUUUUUUCAGUUGAUAUUAGCGUAGCAAAAAAUGGGAUGGAAACCUAUGGAGUGCACUCAAUGCAGAAACUUUUGAGUUAGAGUUCUAGUUUUACUACAAGCGAGAAUAAGUUCUUGUGUUUUAUAUCUAGAAGCUUUGAUUAGGACCAAAGCUAACGUGUGUUUUGCACGUUUAUUCUCUCAUAUUGGGUCUUAUUUUCACAACAGAGAAUCUCUAUAUGGGACACUGUGUUCUGACUUAAAUACAUAACACCAUAAUGAGUUGUGUUAUGACCUGGACCCGCUUCUUCAGUUAAUGAUAAGUUCAUUGGACUACAUCACACAGAAUUAUAGCUUGCGCAGGAUCAGAGGAGCACCGAACUGUGGGUGAAGCGUGAUGACAGUGUAAGGCGCAUGAACAUAGGAAGGAGAUAGCUCAAAGGAGAAUCUCUUUAGAAUCAAAGCCAGAGCCAUCUUUGUCUCCAACAGAGCAAAACUCUGACCAAUACAGAUCCUUGGUCCCCACGCAAAGGGAAAGAAAGACACUUUGCCGUUUGUUGCCUUUGAGACACCGUCUUUGAACCUCUCUGGCUUAAACUCCGCGGCGUCUUCCCCCCAUAGCUGUGUGUCACGAUGGACUAGAAGAAUAGGUAGACUGAUCUGAGCACCGCCUGGUAGUGUCAAGUCACCUAGCUUCAUCUCUUUGUGAAUGGCCCUGGUCAGCUGAGCUACUGGAGGGUAUAGCCUAAGGACCUCAUAUAGUAUCAUUGUCAUCUGCGAAGCGUCAAAUUAAUCAACAAAAAUUACUGGAGUCGCUUAUCCUACUACUACUCUCGUCCAAACAUGCUUAACUGCAGCAAGAGUAGUACUAAAAUUAAAAAGUUAAAUCAGCUAACGGUUUUUGAUUUGGUUCUACUUACAACUUUGAGCUGGUUCAGGCCUUCUGUAUCAGGUUCUUUAUCACCAAAAACUUGCUUCACUUCAUCUCUUGCACGAGCUUGCCAGUCUUGGUGUUGGCUUAGCAGAACCAUUGUCCAGACAAGAAGUACUGAAGUUGUCUCUUGCCCGGCGAAAUAGAACAACUUGCACUCUUCCAUCACAUCCUCAGUGCUCAUCUCAUUUCCUUUAGCUUGCCCCAAAUUAGAUUCAAGAAGUAUACCAAGCAAGUCAUCGCUUGGUGCUUCACCAGCUUCUCUCGCUCUUAACCUUUUGUUAACUAUCCCUCUCAGUAUAACUUGGAUCUCUCUAGCUGCUGCUUUGAUCCUUCUAUUACCCUUUGUUGGGAGAUAACUACACACACACAAAAAACACAGAGAACUUGACAAAACAUGACUGCCAUCUUCAAUGUAAUAGAAGCAGACAAGUUGAGGUUUGUUUCAUUACAGAUAUCCAGGGACGAAAGCUUUCAGAACAGCUAGUAUGAUGAGCUGAGCUAGUUCAGCUUGGAGCUCGAAUAUCCUCUGUCCUUCUUUGUAGCUGCUGCCAAAAGCAGUACGAGAGAUCACAUCUGCAGUCAUACUCACAAGCCCUGGCCACACGUCCACCUCACAUGAUGACCCUUUCUCCGAGACUAUCUUGUCCCAUUUGCCAACAACCUCACUGCAGCUUUGGUGGAACGCAGGUACCAUGUUCUACACAUAUAAACAUAAGGCAUCAACACAACAUACAUACAUAAAUAAAUAAAGUUUAUAAAACAAGAAGCUUAAACCUUGAUCUUCUCAAGAUGGAAAGCCGGGUUGAUGAUUUUUCUGUGUUUAGCCCAUUUUUCACCAUCAUAAUUAGCAAGUCCCUUGGCUAUCACGUUACCUAAAGGGAACGUGUGUGGCUUUUGGAAAUCAUAAACUUUGUUGAACACUUCCUUGAUUAGCUCAGGAUCCAUUAUAGUUAUGGUUGGUAUAGUUCCAAGCCAUGUAAAAUAAGUCCUUCCUGUUUCAACAAGAUAACUAAGUUGAAAACAAGUUGAGAUGUUUUCUUGAUCAGGAUACCAAGAAAACAUUUUAACAUACCGUGAGUCUUGAGCAUUUCGAAUGGAAAAGGCACGACACGUGUUGAGACAUCAUCAGUUAGUUUGAUGGGUUUGGAUCUUGCCUCCAUCGCCAUGCUAAAAGUCCUCUUCAAGUCGCCGAUGAGUGGCGUGUAAGGACUACCGGAAAGACCUUGGCUUCUCAGGUAACUCUCAAGCUUCUUUGGUUUAAACCAAACCCAGUUUAAAGUUCUCCA